rnacentral:rRNA from 1 species
CGACGCUGGCGGCGUGCCUAAUACAUGCAAGUCGAGCGGGUUUGUCCUUCGGGACAAGCUAGCGGCGGACGGGUGAGUAACACGUAGGUAACCUGCCUUUAAGACUGGGAUAACUAUCGGAAACGAUAGCUAAGACCGGAUAACUGGGUUUUCUCGCAUGAGAGAAUCAUAAAACACGGAGCAAUCUGUGGCUUGAAGAUGGGCCUGCGGCGCAUUAGCUAGUUGGUGAGGUAACGGCUCACCAAGGCGACGAUGCGUAGCCGACCUGAGAGGGUGAACGGCCACACUGGGACUGAGACACGGCCCAGACUCCUACGGGAGGCAGCAGUAGGGAAUCUUCCGCAAUGGACGCAAGUCUGACGGAGCAACGCCGCGUGAGUGAUGAAGGUUUUCGGAUCGUAAAGCUCUGUUGCCCUAGACGAACAGCAUCAGGAGUAACUGCCUGAUGUGUGACGGUAUAGGAGAAGAAAGCCCCGGCUAACUACGUG